GUCCACGCCCUAAACGAUGAUGACUAGUUGUUGGGGGAGUUAAAUCCCUUAGUAACGCAGCUAACGCGUGAAGUCAUCCGCCUGGGGAGUACGGUCGCAAGAUUAAAACUCAAAGGAAUUGACGGGGGCCCGCACAAGCGGUGGAUGAUGUGGUUUAAUUCGAUGCAACGCGAAAACCUUACCUACCCUUGACAUGCCAGGAACGCUGCAGAAAUGCAGCGGUGCCCGAAAGGGAACCUGGACACAGGUGCUGCAUGGCUGUCGU
rnacentral:rRNA from 1 species